rnacentral:snRNA from 1 species
GUUCUUGCUUCGACAGAACAUAUACUAAAUUUGGAACGAUAUAGAGUAGAUUAGAAUGGCUCCUGCCAAGGAUGUUUCCUGACUUGAAAAUAACCAAAAA